AGAGUUUGAUCCUGGCUCAGGAUGAACGCUAGCGGCAGGCUUAACACAUGCAAGUCGAGGGGUAACAGGUCUUUCGGGACGCUGACGACCGGCGCACGGGUGAGUAACGCGUAUGCAACUUGCCCAUAGCUGGGGGAUAGCCCGAAGAAAUUCGGAUUAAUACCCCAUAAUAUUACAAAGAGGCAUCUCUUUGUUCUUAAAGCCUUCGGGCGGCUAUGGAUGGGCAUGCGUGUCAUUAGUUAGUUGGUGAGGUAACGGCUCACCAAGACUACGAUGACUACGGGGUCUUAAAGGAUGGUCCCGCACACUGGUACUGAGACACGGACCAGACUCCUACGGGAGGCAGCAGUGAGGAAUAUUGGUCAAUGGGCGAAAGCCUGAACCAGCCAUGCCGCGUGCAGGAUGACGGCCUUAUGGGUUGUAAACUGCUUUUCUACGGGACGAAAAUGCUUUACGUGUAAGGUACUGACGGUACCGUAGGAAUAAGCAUCGGCUAACUCCGUGCCAGCAGCCGCGGUAAUACGGAGGAUGCAGGCGUUAUCCGGAUUUAUUAGGUUUAAAGGGUGCGUAGGCGGAGAUGUAAGUCAGUGGUGAAAUCCUACAGCUUAACUGUAGAACUGCCAUUGAUACUGCAACUCUUGAGUAUAGUUGAGGUAGGCGGAAUGUGUAGUGUAGCGGUGAAAUGCAUAGAUAUUACACAGAACACCAAUUGCGAAGGCAGCUUACUAAAUUAUAACUGACGCUGAGGCACGAAAGCGUGGGGAGCAAACAGGAUUAGAUACCCUGGUAGUCCACGCUGUAAACGAUGAUUACUCGUUGUUGGCAAUAUACAGUCAGCGACUGAGCGAAAGCAUUAAGUAAUCCACCUGGGGAGUACGUUCGCAAGAAUGAAACUCAAAGGAAUUGACGGGGGCCCGCACAAGCGGAGGAACAUGUGUUUAAUUCGAUGAUACGCGAGGAACCUUACCUGGGCUUAAAUGGCUUGUACCCUUCGGGGGAUUCCGGUUGAAAGAUUGGUGAAAGAGUCAAGGUGCUGCAUGGCUGUCGUCAGCUCGUGCCGUGAGGUGUCGGGUUAAGUCCCAUAACGAGCGCAACCCCUAUCAUUAGUUGCCAGCGCGUAAAGGCGGGGACUCUAAUGAGACUGCCACCGUAAGGUGUGAGGAAGGUGGGGAUGACGUCAAGUCAGCACGGCCCUUACGUCCAGGGCUACACACGUGUUACAAUGGCCAGUACAAAGGGCAGCUACUUGGUAACAAGACGCAAAUCCUUAAAACUGGUCCUAGUUCGGAUUGAAGUCUGCAACUCGACUUCAUGAAGUUGGAUUCGCUAGUAAUCGUACAUCAGCAAUGGUACGGUGAAUACGUUCCCGGGCCUUGUACACACCGCCCGUCAAGCCAUGGGAGCCGGGAGUACCUGAAGUUCGUAACCGCAAGGAGCGACCUAGGGUAAAACUGGUGACUGGGGCUAAGUCGUAACAAGGUA
rnacentral:rRNA from 1 species